AGGACGAACGCUGGCGGCGUGCUUAACACAUGCAAGUCGAGCGGAAAGGCCCUUCGGGGUACUCGAGCGGCGAACGGGUGAGUAACACGUGAGCAAUCUGCCCUUAGCUUCGGGAUAGCCCCGGGAAACCGGGAUUAAUACCGAAUACGACCUCGGCCGACAUCGGCUUUGGUGGAAAGUUUUUCGGCUAGGGAUGAACUCGCGGCCUAUCAGCUUGUUGGUGGGGUAAUGGCCUACCAAGGCGACGACGGGUAGCCGGCCUGAGAGGGCGACCGGCCACACUGGGACUGAGACACGGCCCAGACUCCUACGGGAGGCAGCAGUGGGGAAUAUUGCGCAAUGGGCGAAAGCCUGACGCAGCGACGCCGCGUGGGGGAUGAAGGCCUUCGGGUUGUAACCCCUUUCAGCAGGGACGAAGCGAAAGUGACGGUACCUGCAGAAGAAGCGCGGCUAACUACGCGCCAGCAGCCGC
rnacentral:rRNA from 1 species